rnacentral:rRNA from 1 species
GUGGACCGACUCCUAUAAUGCAGUCGAGCGAACAGAAGGGAGCUUGCUCCCGGAUGUUAGCGGCGGACGGGUGAGUAACACGUGGGUAACCUGCCUGUAAGACUGGGAUAACUCCGGGAAACCGGAGCUAAUACCGGAUAGUUCCUUGAACCGCAUGGUUCAAGGAUGAAAGACGGUUUCGGCUGUCACUUACAGAUGGACCCGCGGCGCAUUAGCUAGUUGGUGGGGUAAUGGCUCACCAAGGCGACGAUGCGUAGCCGACCUGAGAGGGUGAUCGGCCACACUGGGACUGAGACACGGCCCAGACUCCUACGGGAGGCAGCAGUAGGGAAUCUUCCGCAAUGGACGAAAGUCUGACGGAGCAACGCCGCGUGAGUGAUGAAGGUUUUCGGAUCGUAAAGCUCUGUUGUUAGGGAAGAACAAGUGCGAGAGUAACUGCUCGCACCUUGACGGUACCUAACCAGAAAGCCACGGCUAACUACGUGCCAGCAGCCGCGGUAAUACGUAGGUGGCAAGCGUUGUCCGGAAUUAUUGGGCGUAAAGGGCUCGCAGGCGGUUUCUUAAGUCUGAUGUGAAAGCCCCCGGCUCAACCGGGGAGGGUCAUUGGAAACUGGGAAACUUGAGUGCAGAAGAGGAGAGUGGAAUUCCACGUGUAGCGGUGAAAUGCGUAGAGAUGUGGAGGAACACCAGUGGCGAAGGCGACUCUCUGGUCUGUAACUGACGCUGAGGAGCGAAAGCGUGGGGAGCGAACAGGAUUAGAUACCCUGGUAGUCCACGCCGUAAACGAUGAGUGCUAAGUGUUAGGGGGUUUCCGCCCCUUAGUGCUGCAGCUAACGCAUUAAGCACUCCGCCUGGGGAGUACGGUCGCAAGACUGAAACUCAAAGGAAUUGACGGGGGCCCGCACAAGCGGUGGAGCAUGUGGUUUAAUUCAAGCAACGCGAAGAACCUUACUAUGUCUUGACAUCCUCUGACAACCCUAAGAUAGGGCUUUCCCUUCGGGACAGAAUUGACAGGAGUGCACGUUGUCGUCAGCUCGUGACAUGAGAUGUGGGUUAAGUCCCGCAACGACCGCAACCCCUUGCAUCUAGAUGCCACAUUUAGUAUGGGCACUCUAGGGUGACUGCCCGGUGACCAACCGGAGGGAAAGGCGCGGAAUG